UGGUGUUCCUUCAGGCGACAACAGCACGCGCAUGCUAAACAUCUUCUCACAGUCGGAACUCGUACAAACAGUUCAGACAAGUAAGUUAGGCCUAUCAAACAGAAAUCUUACAGCGUUUAGUUUGCUUUAAAUUUACCGAGUCUGUAAAACACAAGUACAAAAUUAAGACUAGAUGACAUUUACAGGUAAUUAAACAUGUUUAAUCAUACUAUCUUGGUGCAUUAGUAUUUAAAAUUAUAUUAUCAGCGUACCAAUUUAGUAUUACAUUUGUUAAAUUUUUGGUAUGUUUUACAUCAAUAACACUGCACAGUUGUACUGUAUGUAAAACAUGAUUAUGUAACCCAGCAUGAUAAUCUGACCUUUGGUGCAAAAGGUCAACAAAAAAUGUCUAGCUCACUGGUAAGUCAUAACAUUGCUUGAUUUUUUCAAGAUUGCUAAAUUAUUUUAAGAUUUAAAUGUGAUCUUGAAUCCCUGAUUUCAGCAUAUCAGCUGUGACAUACAACAUUGUGUUCCUUAACAGAGUGAUCCCUAAAUAAUCCAGAAUGUUCCUGCAGAAGCCCUGGCUCCCUGUACCCCAAGGAAAGCUGUUGCUAAGCAACCAAUGACAUCACCACAGCAGCAUCACAGCCUCAUUGGAGGACAGACAAAAAUGUACAGUUUCUGGAGCAUCUUGCUCUCUCCUCGACUAAUCUGUCUAAAAAUAAAUGAGAAGAGAGGAGGAUGAGCUGCCGGAGAGAAUGAAGGGAUAAAAGACGGUGUGCAGGUGAGAAGGCCGUGCUGCACUAUGGAAGACUGGAGAGGAAGGGGAGGAGACCAGAACAGCA